rnacentral:misc_RNA from 1 species
UAAGUCUAUGCGAAGGCACAGGUGCAACAAUGUCUGAUGAUGAUGAUGACCAGGCAGACAGUGACGCCAACUUGUAUGAUGGAAGUCUGGAUGGGCCAGAUUGCAUGGGAUUUGGUCCUCUUGUCCUCACUGAAAGUGAGAGGUCAUUGAUGGAGCAUGUAAGGAAAGAAUUAAAGCAUUCACUGAAACAGGGUUACAAAGAGAAGAUUGUGGACAUUAGAGAAGAAAUUCUACGCAAGAGAAGGGCUGGAAAAUUACCGGGAGAUACCACUUCUCUCUUAAAAGCUUGGUGGCAAUCACAUUCUAAAUGGCCGUAUCCAACUGUAUGCAUGAUGUGAUAUCCUAUAUAUUGGUUUGACCAUAUUUUUUCUUAAGUUCUUCGUCACUCUUGUUUGCUUCAAUUUGUUUUAGGAGGAAGACAAAGCAAGAUUAGUUCAGGAAACAGGCUUGCAGUUAAAGCAGAUAAAUAACUGGUUCAUAAACCAAAGAAAAAGAAACUGGCAUAGCAACCCUUCAGGAUCUACUACGAAGAGCAAGCGCAAGAAGUAAGUGGAUUAUUGUCGUAUGUUUUUCUUUUAUUCAAAAUUUGUUCAAACCUUUUGCCAAUUAUAAUUGGGGAAACAAGCAAUGCAGGUGAAAGCAGUGAUGAAUAAAUGGAAAAAUUUGGCGGAAGACUACAGUUUUUCCUGUCCUCGAGUUAACUGGAGAAUUUCAUCAUUUGAGCUUCAGAGCACUAUAGGGGCCACUGCAAUGAGAAAGAAUCAAUGUAUAAGAGUAGCUUAAAAAUUCUGUUUGGAUUUCCCUCACUUGCCCAUACGGUAAAGUUAAAGCCUAGUAAAAGAGGCUGCUAUUCGUAGAGAUGGAUUAAACUCAGCUCACCUAUUAAGUCCAGUUGACAGGUAUGUGGUUGAAGACCUGCUGAUGCAUAUAAAUAUCCUAGUUUUUAAACUAUAAGCACAUGAGAUUGUUUGGACAGCUUAUUUUUGUGCCACUGGCCUGUAAUUUUGUAGUAUUUGGUUUGUGCUCCUUUAUCUGUGAUGAGAAUGGCUAUUAAGUUCUUGGUUUAUAAUGUAAUUAUCUCUGUUUUAUAAUUUGAACUGUCUGAUCACAACGUGUGGAGAGAAUUGAUGUUUCCCUGUUUAGUUUUCUUUUUUAU